UUUCGAAGCACGACAACCCAU
rnacentral:piRNA from 1 species